rnacentral:rRNA from 1 species
UACAGAGGGUGCAAGCGUUGCUCGGAAUCAUUGGGCGUAAAGGGUAGGUAGGUGGUCUCGUUUGUCUGGGGUGAAAGCCCAGGGCUUAACCCUGGAAGUGCCCCGGAAACGGCGAGACUGGAGUCUUGGAGAGGGUCGUGGAAUUCCCGGUGUAGCGGUGAAAUGCGUAGAGAUCGGGAGGAACACCAGAGGCGAAGGCGGCGACCUGGACAAGUACUGACACUCAACUACGAAAGCGUGGGGAGCAAACAGG